rnacentral:rRNA from 1 species
AGAGUUUGAUCCUGGCUCAGGACGAACGCUGGCGGCGUGCCUAAUACAUGCAAGUCGUGCGGGGUCUUGAAGGGCUUGCCCUUUAAGACCCAGCGGCGAACGGGUGAGUAACACGUGGGUAACCUGCCCGCAAGACCGGGAUAACUCCGGGAAACCGGGGCUAAUACCGGAUAGGACCCCGGAUCGCAUGAUCCGGAGUGGAAAGGCGGCGACAAGCUGCCACUUGCGGAUGGGCCCGCGGCGCAUUAGCUGGUUGGUGAGGUAACGGCUCACCAAGGCGACGAUGCGUAGCCGACCUGAGAGGGUGAUCGGCCACACUGGGACUGAGACACGGCCCAGACUCCUACGGGAGGCAGCAGUAGGGAAUCUUCCGCAAUGGGCGCAAGCCUGACGGAGCAACGCCGCGUGAGCGAGGACGGCCUUCGGGUUGUAAAGCUCUGUUCUUCGGGAAGAAGGGCGGGAGGGCGAACAACUCUUCCGCUUGACGGUA